ensembl:lncRNA
CUGGAAUUCUUUUUCACACAUUCCUUACGCCAGAUUUCUGCAUCUUACUCUACUAGUUUUGGAACAAGGUUUCAGAGGGUUUUAAGCAUUGACAUCUCCUCAGCAAUCCUAAUGAUUUUCCAAGCAUAUGCCACAGACUGGGGGAAAAACAAGAAAGAAGCAUUUAAGUUCACCAGUCUGAUAGGUCUCCUGAUGAUGGGCCUCCUGCUAAUCCUCUGAAGAGUGCUCUCAAAAGAAAAUGGUGUCUUAUGUACACAAGCUUUUUCCAACUGCAAAUUCUUGUCAGUAUGUUGAAUACUAGCAUCCUAUUGCCCAACAUUCACCAGCAACUUGCCCCUACAAUGGCAAUUUGCUAUUCUACAUGCAAUAAAUACCUUACUAACAAGCCCUUUUCUCACUUCUGAGAUAUAGAAGGAACACCAAUAAUAUCCAGUGUUCCUUCCUUAUAAAACUCUGAAGGAGUAUCAUUCACCAGUUCCAAGGAUUAUGGACUGUCUCAACUCCAAACAAUGACUGUAAAACGGUUACAGAUGUCUGCUAGUCUCUUCAUCAGAUCAUCUUCCCUAGCUAUCCCAUGUUGGGAUCAAUGAUCCUGAUGUUGACUCCCAGUCAAUCUAGCUUUAGUGGAAACAAUUCCCUUUCCUUAUAAGCGAAUCCUUUGAAUAUGUUCAUCUGUUUCUUGCUACUAUACUUGUCCAACACAACAUUUGUAUCUGCAAAAUUCCAUAGACCUUGAAAGAUUUGUUAAUGAGUAUUCCUUGUGACUAUUCAAAGUACAAACAGACAUAAAGACAAUCUUUUCCUCAAGAUCUGUAGUCUAUAUGAACAUUUAUAAAUCAUCCUCCCAUUCCUCUCCCUGAAAAUGCAAUCUAAUGUGCAGAUUUGGUCACUGAAAGGAAGGCAACUUUCAGUAGGGGAAAAACACGGCACACUGCCCAUGAAUACUGUUAACUCCAGCAGUUCUUGUACAGAAAAGUCCACAUUAAAACUGUACAAAAAGACAGUCUAAAUAACUGCUAUUGGCAAGUAGCCAGGCUUUUUUUUUUCUGGAUACAUAUUCUAGAAUUAUUUAAUUCCAGUUUAAUUCCUCAUUCAUUAGAUAUUUCUAAUGCAGGAUGGUGUCUUUUAUUGUAAUUAUUCUAAUGCAGCAAACCGAAAUCAGAAAGUAAGAAACAGAAUGAGCACCCACUUCAAAUAAUUUGCAGUAAAUUGCACAGACUGUACCUGUGCAAUAUCAAAUAGUAGAGAACAGUAAGAAAAAGAGCAGAUCACACAGGUACAACUGUCUAUUAGUCCCUAUAUUGUAGAGUGAAUACACUUCCUUUUGUCUUUGUAUGCUUAUUCCUAUCUCUGUUCCAUUCUAUCUGUGAGCUGUAUGCUGUUAGCUAAGGAGGUAGUACUCUAAUACUGCAGCUGGGACAGGACUGCAAGCAACUAAAAGUAAAUGCUUAUGCCUAAGCUUAUUUCUCUAAGCAAGCUUCCCUUCUGCAUGUUUAACAAAGGUCUGACCAAUGAAGCCUGGGGCACAGGUUUAUCUUUUUGAAGGUAGAUUCAAUAAAACAUACAACAGUCUAGUUUUGCGAAUGUUUAUAAUUUCACUUCCUGAAUUUCCUCAGCACUUUGAUAAAUCAUCAGAAACUUAAUUGCUCACUUGGUUUUCAUUUGAAGACAUUUAUUAUUUUUUUUGAAGAUGUGAUUAUAUCUUCUCUCAUUCUUAUUAUGAGAAUUGUUAGAAAAAAAUGGAUGUUCUUUCCAUCUAAGAAUCCCUCAUCAGUAAGGAAUUUCUAAAAGAUAAUUCAAAUUUUCUCUAGAAUUCCUUAUGAAAAAAAGAAAGAUAGGAGGAAUUUCUGUGUCUGAACUUUCACAUCAGCCUCCUUUGUGUUCAUGAUGAAAGGUGUUUUCCCAGCUGUCAUCAAAACUAUUAAUCUUUUUUUCUCUCUGUAGCUGUAUCUUUAAUUUGCCACAUGAUGGCCUCAUUUGCUCAGACAACAACUAUUUUAAAGUGCAUUUUCGUUUAGAUUUUCUUUUCUUCUUCACAUAUGUUUUGUCCAACUCUAUGCAGACAUUGUUUGUAUUGAACUCAAAAAGCAGUAUUCUUAUCAUCUGUUGGUCACGGACCAGGAUUCCCACCCUAUUCUACUCCCACUCCUUUCUUUUCUAUCAACUUACAGUCCUGAAAGUUUUAUUACUAAAGUCAGAGUUUGUAAGAUCUGGGAUAGUGUUCAACUAAGUCUGUAGACAUUAACUGCUCUUCCAAGCUUGUACUAUGUUACGCAUUCCUACUGAAGGUGAGCAGUGAGGAGAGAGGCAGUUUAUCUUAGCACUUAAAGGAGAUUAAAAUGUCCUUGUGUGUGAAAUGGUUAGAAGUAAGCUGCCGACCCACUGUUGGGUACUGCUGGGGCAGCCAUCAGUAUUUUGCCAUUAAUUUCCUUUAUGAUAUUGGGCAAGUCUUUCAGGCAAGAGUAACAAUGGUCUGUAAGACAUUGUGCUUCAAGUGAUGACAUGGUAGGCACAUAAAUUGGCUUAGAGCAUAUGAAUACCUUCAAGUAUUAAGCCUAUUUCUGUCAUAAUUUCUCCACUACAAAAGUUGACUGAGAAGUAUCAAACAAACAAAAUGUGAAUCUUGUCCUCUUCAGUAUUUUUAGUUUCAGUAAUGUGAUUUGAGAUAUAGAGCUUAGGAAUCAUUUUCCUGAGUGAAUUAUUCCUUUAAAAAGCUUUAUAUUCAACACUACUCUCAUCCUACAUUCAGGCAGCCUAUUGUUUUUAAAGAACAGCUAUAAUAAUGUAUAGAAUAGGGUAUUAAUAAAAUGCUACAGUUACAUUAAAGCAUAACUUUUCCCUUCCGAAAUAAUAAGCAUUAUAGGCAUUUUAACAUGAGAAAAUACUUCUUUAUUGUGAGGGCAGUUAAGCACUAGAACAGAAUUCUCAGAAAGGGUGUGGAGUCUCCAUCCCUUUAGAUAUUCAAAACCAGGCUACACAUAGCAUUAAGAAACCUCCCAACCUUUGCCAUUCUCCGACUCUGCAGGAAAAGUUAGAGUGAACCAUUCAACCAAUUAAUAGAUCCAUCCCAUAUGGUAUGGAUUCCAGGAUAUCAAAACAAGUCAAUUCCUCACAAGAGGAAAACAGUUACAAGAAUAAUGCUAGAAAGUUACUUUCUCAACUUUUUCCCCAGAAAUAUCCUGAACCUUAAAUAUUAAAAAAAGGAGUUAGAAACACUUUACCACCUCUCAGAUCAAAGUAUCAUCAACAGAUUGAGUUUAACCUUCGUGCUUCAUUUAAGACGAAGUUAAUUGAUCCACUGAAAGUUAUUACUCAAUUUGCCAUAACAAUAUAAUAAAGAACUGUCGACGGUUUACGGGCUGGUCCGGCCCGGUUCUGUGACUAGUGGGGCAGAGGGAUUUUUUUUGCAAAAUUCACACCUCCGGAAAAGGGAAACAGGGGAUCCCUCACAAGAAAGAAUAACUAAAAAAAAAAAAAAAAAAAAAAAACAAAAAACAACCAGCGGCAACGAUCUGAGGAGAAACAAACUAAUUUACUAAAUAUAGUAUCGGAAUGCACGAUAACACACUGUAAUACAAUAUAAUUCAAUAUAAUUGUUAAUAAAAUCAAAUAUAAUUGAGAGAAGGAUUACCCAGGGCAGGUGACCUACGGGCCUUAUAUCUGUUCCCCUGAGCAGGAAUGAUAACAGUACUUGAACAGUCUUCUGGGGAACGUAGUUAUUCUUCUCUUCUGGACAAGUACCCAGAACUAGAGCAUUUGCUCUUUAACUCCCAGUACACUGCAUGAUGUUACGAUGUGGAAUACUGAUAACCAAAAAUCAUAA